UACGAAGGGUGCAAACGUUGCUCGGAAUUAUUGGGCGUAAAGGGCGCGUAGGCGGUGCGGUAAGUCACCUGUGAAAUCUCCUGGCUCAACUGGGAGCUUGCAGGCGAAACUGCCGUGCUGGAGUGUGGGAGAGGUGCGUGGAAUUCCUGGUGUAGCGGUGAAAUGCGUAGAUAUCAGGAGGAACACCUGUGGCGAAAGCGGCGCACUGGACCACAACUGACGCUGAGGCGCGAAAGCUAGGGGAGCAAACAGG
rnacentral:rRNA from 1 species